CACCCACCACAAAAUGCUGCUGUUGGCUGGCGCUGUCUAAAGUGGUGAGGUUUCGUGAGGGAGGUGAGACUGCCAAAGGAAGGCAAGUGGGGGUGUCACAGUGAGUGGGACCCGGCCACCAGCGUGACUCUAGUCUACGGGACCUGUGAAAACUCAAGAUAGUUUCUGAACGCAGCCCACUGGAAGUGCUUGCCUCCGAAGAGUAAAAUCCUCCAAACCAUCUGCAGGGUGGUUUUGGCUUAAUUGUUUGUCCUACCUCUGUGAAACGAAAGUCAAAGCAAACAGUUAUCACAUGGGAAAAGGUCCAAAGGAGUUACACCAGGGAGAGGACUGAGGGACAGAUUCUCCUCUUUUCAGAGAGACAAAACACCAGGUGUCUUCAGCGAACAGGGCAAGUAGGAUUUGGCCCAACUGAAGGAACACAGGACUGGCUCCCAAAGGCUGAGCAGUACCUGUUCAUUGGGGCUGGA